UACGUAGGGUGCAAGCGUUGUCCGGAAUUAUUGGGCGUAAAGAGCUUGUAGGCGGUUUGUCGCGUCUGCUGUGAAAUUUCGGGGCUCAACCCCGAACUUGCAGUGGGUACGGGCAGACUAGAGUGUGGUAGGGGGAGACUGGAAUUCCUGGUGUAGCGGUGAAAUGCGCAGAUAUCAGGAGGAACACCAGUGGCGAAGGCGGUUACCUGGAGCUUUGCUGACGCUGAUGCGCGAAAGCGUGGGGAGCGAUCCGG
rnacentral:rRNA from 1 species